AGCUCUGCAAAAUCUUUCCGUUUUCUCUACUUCUUCAAGUGAACGCAAAGGAAAUGAGACUAAAGAAAUGAUGGAGAUGUGACGAGAACAAAAGGAGGAGGACCAUGAAUGAGCACUUAUUUAUGUUUUUGUACCCAAAAUGAUGAGCGCAUCAGAAGAAAAAAAAAGUUGCUUUGAAUGGCAUUCUUGAAGUAUUGGAAAGGCUCUGAAAUGAAAAGCAUGCCCAAAUGGAAGCAAGGGAAGAAAGACAUGGAAAGCAAAGUGAAUCAAUUAUUGCCUUCAGCCUUGAGAAAUUAAUAUAUUUAACUUGUAACUUCACAAGUGUUGAGGUGGUUUCACUUUUCUCUGAACACUGAAAGAACAUUGAAAGCAAGUUGAUAGAAGAUAGUAAAGGAAGGACCUGGAGCACAUAUUGUUCAAAAAGUAAAAUAGAAGUGAAAAAUUUCAGAAAAGAGGCACUCAAGAUAUUCUGAGUACAGGGACCAUGUUUUCCUAAGAAAGAUUUUAAAAAUUUAAAAGAGUAUUUUGAUAUAGAAUAAGAGAUGUGUUGUGAAAAAUGUUGCAAUGGCCUAAGAGGUUCAAUGGGAAGAUUGACCUUGCAGGGAACUUCUCUAGUGUGUGUUGAGAAAGUCAUAGCUCAGAACAGAAUUCAAUUUACAUUGAUAAAUAGCUUGUGCAGGUGCAGAAGGGCAUUUCUAAGGUAAUGAGGUAAAACUAUUAAUGGAAUAUGUUUUAGAGAAAGUCUUGACAGGGAAUAGAAAGCAGUCACACAGGAAAAGCAGAGAAAUUUAGCUGCUUGGGAAGUUUAUGCUGCAACUGGACAGAGCGCUGGGAUCUGUGAUAGAGUGUUCUGUUUCAAUUACAAAGAUGAGCCAAAAGAGCUUCUAGCCUUUCCCAUCUUUGUGUUUUAUGAGUACAGGUGUUACAGGCAUGCAAAGUAGCAUAUCUUAAUUGUCAUCUCCAAAUCAGACCAGUUCCACUUGUGUUUGGUUUAGCAUACUGUAUUUUGAUGAAGUUUUCAUCUCAUUUCCCUUGAGGACUGCAGUAGCAUUUCCACUCACUCAAGAAGUCAAGCUCUUGUACUGUUUAAUUUACUUUGGGUGUAGAGAAUUUAAAGUGUGAAUUAAAACAAUGGAAACAUCUUUGUGGCACAGCACAGGAGAGCAAACCUAGAACAGUACAAAUAGGUAUUGACUGCCAGGGCUUUACUCAUACUCCAGUAAACUUUGCUCUGGGAAGAAGGAGCUGCACAAAGAGCUGCUGGAGCCUACAAACUUCAAAGCGAAUGACAUGGAAGUGCAAAUCAAUAGAGAAACCACAUGAAACUUUUCAAGGGUAUUUGAUGCCUUCAUGUGUUCAUUUUGAAAUGUUACCUCACAAAUUCCCACUAACCCUAUCUUUCUUGAACUCACCAGCUAUUUCCUGAAAAAAAACCCUAGCAGCUCCUAGGGAAUCAUAAUUUUAAUGCUUGGAGAAUAUGAAAGCUUCACUUGAGCUUCAUUUUUCAGUAUCAUGCUUUCUGUGGAGAAAAGGUGCAAAACUUCCCCCUAUUGCCUGCAUUAUUCCAGUGCAGUCCUGCUGAAUCCCUCCUCCAGAACUGGGCUGGAGGAGACAGAAAGCAUAUAUGAUCUAUUGCAUUAUUUUGCUGAAGCGUACAUUUUUUUCAAGAAAUGUUCACCUUGCCUUUUCACAUCAGUAACAUUCUUGGUAAAUUGUUGGAAUUUAAUUUUUGCUAUUACUUGUUCUGGUUGGUACCCUCAUGUAGAUAUGGGGGUCUUCAGACUGGAUGUCAGCUGGUGCUUGCCUGUUCUCUAGCUUUGUACUUUGCUAAAAGUUGAAAAUAGGGUUGUUUCCCAGCAGUCAGUAAUGAUGAGAUGUGAUUUGUUGAAGUUGUAAUACUUUCAUGCAGGUCAGACCUUGGAGUACUUAGUCAAAUCACCUGAAGGAAGACGAUUUCUACUUCUUAUUACGAAAUAAUUUCUUUCCUCUGAUAUAUUAGCUGAUAUACACUUGUGAUG